rnacentral:rRNA from 1 species
GAUGAACGCUGGCGGCGUGCCUAAUACAUGCAAGUCGAGCGAACGGACGAGAAGCUUGUUUUUCUGAUGUUAGCGGCGGACGUGUGAGUAACACGUGGAUCACCUAUCUAUAUGACUGUGAUAACUUCGGGAAACCUGAUCUAAUACCGGAUAAUAUUUUGAACCGCAUGGUUCAAAAGUGAAAUACGGUCUUGCUGCCAGUGAUAGAUGGAUCCGCGCUGCAUUAGCUAGUUGUUAAGGUAACGGCUUACCAAGGCAACGAUGCAUAGCCGACCUGAGAGGGUGAUAGGCCACACUGGAACUGAGACACGGUCCUGACUCCUAAGGGAGGCAGCAGUAGGGGACAUUACGAAAUGGAGGAGAGCCUGCCGGAACAAGGACGCGUGAGUGGUACAGGUCUUCGGAUCGUAAAACUCUGUUAUUAGGGUUGAAAAUGUGUGUAAGUAACUGUGCACCUCUUGACGUUACCUAAUCAGAAAGCAACGGCUAACUACGUG